rnacentral:misc_RNA from 1 species
AAGUCGUAACAAGGUAUCCGUAGGUGAACCUGCGGAUGGAUCAUUAAUGUAAGCGUUGGCUGAGCGUGGUUCUGGGGCCUUUUCGGCCCUGGUCCCCUCUUCCAACCUAUACACAUCCACACCCUUGUGCACUGUAAUGUCUCUGGCAGUUUUAUUUUUUCCGAGGUUUUUUGUUGAAGGCGGUUUGCCUUUGCAAACUCUCGGGCUGCCAGUUGUUUUUUACAAACCACAUUUUUUUUUUAAUUUGAGCCUUAAUAUUUCCAUUGACAAUAAAUUGUCUUAAACAACUUUUGACAACGGAUCUCUUGGCUCUC